rnacentral:piRNA from 1 species
UACUAUGUAAAGUGACUAGAAUAGGGGUC